AUGCAGCAGCCGGCCCUCCUCGCCACCGGGGGACUCGACGAGUACGAGUACGCGAGGUUGGAAACGCUCUUGAUGGAGGGAGGGUCCGCCUCGGCAGGAGCACCUCGCUUCAAUGGCACAGACUAUGAGUCAUGGCGGUUCAGUAUGAGGCUCCACUUGGGGGCCUUUCACUAUCGUGUGUGGAGCAUUGUGGAAACCGGCCUCUCCUCUUGUGUGGAUGAAGCGAACCCGACGGCUCCCGAGCUGAGGAACAUCCACUACAACGCCCAGGCCAUGAACGCCAUCUACUGUGCCCUGAGUGAUGACCAGCUCUACCGGAUCUGGCACCUUGAUAUUGCUAAGGAGGUCUGGGAGGCUCUCCGGGUUAUACACCAAGACACCCCAAUCAUCCGUGAGUUGAAGGUCAAACAGCUGAGGGAGAAGAUGAAGUUUUUUGCGUGGAGGAAGAACGAGCACCCCAUUAGCAUGUAUUCGAGGCUCAUGAAUCUGGCCAGUGAGAUGAAGCUCCAUGGAUGCCAGGAGGUGACAGAUUCUUAUGUUGUGAGGAAGAUUCUUCAUGCCAUCACACCAAGGAGCUCCACCUUUGUGACCAUCAUCCGUCAGAGGCCUAACUUUGAAGAACUCACCCCUUUGGAUGUGCUCCAUAAUUUUCAAGUCCACGACAACAUGCAAGAACUAUCCAGAAGAGGCAUGCGCGGGUACGCGAGGGCGAAGGUGGACACUGUCACGCCGAGCAAGCCCGCCCGCGAAGCCGGUUGCUCCGGAGAAGCGCCUCACUUCGAUGGCACACACUCUCUAUCGUGGCAGCGUAGGAUGAAAUUCCAUUUGUUUAGCAUGCACCCUCUUGUGUGGAGAGCUGUGGAAACUGGUUUCUCUUGUGCAGAUGAAGCAAAUGAAGAGAGUAAUGUGCAUCACAGUGCCGGAGCUAUAUGCGCCUUUUAUCGUGCCAUGGAUGAUAGUCCCUACAACUGGAUUUCCCCAUAUAAGAGUGCCAAGGAGAUUUGGGAUGAUCUCCGAAAAUUUAGUGAAGCGGGUUCUAAGUCAAUGCUCAGCUCACUGAGACAGAUAUGGACUGGUUCGUCUUAG
rnacentral:rRNA from 1 species